GCAAUCUACCUUGUACAGGGGGAUAGCCCAGAGAAAUUUGGAUUAAUACCCCAUAGUGUAACGAAAAGGCAUCUUUUUGUUACUAAAGUUCCAACGGUACAAGAUGAGCAUGCGUCCCAUUAGCUAGUUGGUGUGGUAACGGCAUACCAAGGCAACGAUGGGUAGGGGUCCUGAGAGGGAGAUCC
rnacentral:rRNA from 1 species